rnacentral:rRNA from 1 species
UCCUUCUGGGAAAGAUUCAUCGGUAUGGGAUGGGGUCGCGUCCUAUCAGCUUGAUGGCGGGGUAACGGCCCACCAUGGCUUCGACGGGUAGCCGGCCUGAGAGGGCGACCGGCCACAUUGGGACUGAGAUACGGCCCAGACUCCUACGGGAGGCAGCAGUGGGGAAUAUUGCACAAUGGGCGCAAGCCUGAUGCAGCGACGCCGCGUGCGGGAUGACGGCCUUCGGGUUGUAAACCGCUUUUGACUGGGAGCAAGCCCUUCGGGGUGAGUGUACCUUUCGAAUAAGCACCGGCUAACUACGUGCCAGCAGCCGCGGUAAUACGUAGGGUGCAAGCGUUAUCCGGAAUUAUUGGGCGUAAAGGGCUCGUAGGCGGUUCGUCGCGUCCGGUGUGAAAGUCCAUCGCUUAACGGUGG